GACGAACGCUGGCGGCGUGCCUAAUACAUGCAAGUUGAGCGCUGAAGGUUGGUACUUGUACCAACUGGAUGAGCAGCGAACGGGUGAGUAACGCGUGGGGAAUCUGCCUUUGAGCGGGGGACAACAUUUGGAAACGAAUGCUAAUACCGCAUAAAAACUUUAAACACAAGUUUUAAGUUUGAAAGAUGCAAUUGCAUCACUCAAAGAUGAUCCCGCGUUGUAUUAGCUAGUUGGUGAGGUAAAGGCUCACCAAGGCGAUGAUACAUAGCCGACCUGAGAGGGUGAUCGGCCACAUUGGGACUGAGACACGGCCCAAAAUCCUACGGGAGGCAGCAGUAGGGAAUCUUCGGCAAUGGACGAAAGUCUGACCGAGCAACGCCGCGUGAGUGAAGAAGGUUUUCGGAUCGUAAAACUCUGUUGGUAGAGAAGAAAGUUGGUGAGAGUGGAAAGCUCAUCAAGUGACGGUAACUAACCAGAAAGGGACGGCUAACUACGUG
rnacentral:rRNA from 1 species